rnacentral:rRNA from 1 species
GAUGAACGCUGGCGGCGUGCCUAAUACAUGCAAGUCGAGCGAACGGACGAGAAGCUUGCUCCUCUGAUGUUAGCGGCGGACGGGUGAGUAACACGUGGAUAACCUACCUAUAAGACUGGGAUAACUUCGGGAAACCGGAGCUAAUACCGGAUAAUAUAUUGAACCGCAUGGUUCAAAAGUGAAAGACGGUCUUGCUGUCACUUAUAGAUGGAUCCGCGCUGCAUUAGCUAGUUGGUAAGGUAACGGCUUACCAAGGCAACGAUGCGUAGCCGACCUGAGAGGGUGAUCGGCCACACUGGAACUGAGACACGGUCCAGACUCCUACGGGAGGCAGCAGUAGGGAAUCUUCCGCAAUGGGCGAAAGCCUGACGGAGCAACGCCGCGUGAGUGAUGAAGGUCUUCGGAUCGUAAAACUCUGUUAUUAGGGAAGAACAAAUGUGUAAGUAACUAUGCACGUCUUGACGGUACCUAAUCAGAAAGCCACGGCUAACUACGUG